rnacentral:rRNA from 1 species
UUAAAUAUUUAUAGGAUAGAGAUGGGCUCGCGUGACAUUAGCUAGUUGGUAGGGUAACGGCUUACCAAGGCGACGAUGUCUAGGGGCUCUGAGAGGAGAAUCCCCCACACUGGUACUGAGACACGGACCAGACUCCUACGGGAGGCAGCAGUAAGGAAUAUUGGUCAAUGGGCGGAAGCCUGAACCAGCCAUGCCGCGUGCAGGAUGACUGCCCUAUGGGUUGUAAACUGCUUUUGUCCAGGAAUAAACCUAGAUACGUGUAUUUAGCUGAAUGUACUGGAAGAAUAAGGAUCGGCUAACUCCGUGCCAGCAGCCGCGGUAAUACGGAGGAUCCGAGCGUUAUCCGGAUUUAUUGGGUUUAAAGGGUGCGUAGGCGGCCUAUUAAGUCAGGGGUGAAAUACGGUGGCUCAACCAUCGCAGUGCCUUUGAUACUGAUGGGCUUGAAUCCAUUUGAAGUGGGCGGAAUAAGACAAGUAGCGGUGAAAUGCAUAGAUAUGUCUUAGAACUCCGAUUGCGAAGGCAGCUCACUAAGCUGGUAUUGACGCUGAUGCACGAAAGCGUGGGGAUCGAACAGGAUUAGAUACCCUGGUAGUCCACGCCCUAAACGAUGAUAACUCGAUGUUGGCG